AAAUUGAAGAGUUUGAUCAUGGCUCAGAUUGAACGCUGGCGGCAGGCCUAACACAUGCAAGUCGAACGGUAACAGGAAGCAGCUUGCUGCUUCGCUGACGAGUGGCGGACGGGUGAGUAAUGUCUGGGAAACUGCCUGAUGGAGGGGGAUAACUACUGGAAACGGUAGCUAAUACCGCAUAAUGUCGCAAGACCAAAGAGGGGG
rnacentral:rRNA from 2 species